rnacentral:tRNA from 1 species
UAAAAGAUAAGCUAAAAAAGCUGAUGGGCUCAUAACCCUUUAAUGGUCUUGCCUCUUUUAA